rnacentral:rRNA from 1 species
AGAGUUGAUCCUGGCUUAGAACGAACGCUGGCGGCGCGUCUUAAGCAUGCAAGGUCGAACGGCAAGAGGUAGCAAUACCUCCUAGAGUGGCGGACUGGUGAGUAACACGUGGGUGACAUACCCUUCAGAUGGGGAUAGCUAUUAGAAAUAGUAGAUAAUACCGAAUACGAGCACAGGGGUUAGAGAUCUGUGAGGAAAGGAGCUAAGGCUCCGCUGAAGGAAUGGCCUGCGGCCCAUUAGCUAGUUGGUGAGGUAAGAGCCCACCAAGGCGAUGAUGGGUAUCCGGCCUUAGAGGGUGAACGGACACAUUGGGACUGAGAUACGGCCCAGACUCCUACGGGAAGCAGCAGCUAAGAAUAUUCCGCAAUGGACGAAAGUCUGACGGAGCGACGCCGCGUGGAUGAAGAAGGCCGGAAGGUUGUAAAAUCCUUUUGAAACUGAAGAAUAAGCGUUGUAGGGAAUGACAGCGUGGUGACAGUAGGUUUUGAAUAAGCAACGGCUAAUUACGUGCCAGCCGCUGC